CGGAGCUCGGCGCUUGUGAAAGCGGAAAGUCGAGCCCAGGACGCCUCUAACAGGCGAGCGGUGGUGCCCCGAGUCCGGUGCUCACCGGACGCGGGCCUAUCAGUCUGGACCUGUUCCGAGUUCACUGGCGAGAUCCUAGCUGGCCUGGGUGGCCCAGCUGUGCAAGAUGACGUGGGGACCCGGGAUAGCUUUCGGAACCUGGAAUUGCGGGCCUGAGACUCGGUGGCUUCCCGUUUAUAUGCUCGGGCCUAGUGGUCUGGCUGCAGUAGAGUCCACAUCAGGAUGACAGCUGGCAGAGUCUUUAUAGAGCAGACGCCAAGUCCCAGCACUAGACACAGGAGAAGAAAACCGAGACUUAAGACUAGCUAGAACAACCCAGCUAAGGCCUUGCUGUAACUGGGAGGUCAUGCGGGCCGCUACUUUUCCAUCCUUCCCCCUGGUGUUCGACAUUGCAGUAGAUCCUUUCAAACCCAGGACUGAAGAAUGAUGGGUUGGCUAGAUGGAAUGAGAUUCGAGGGGUCCCUGUAUGGACCCCUGAGUAUCAGUGUAGGGUGAAAACAAAACCCCAAACAACUCACACCUUGGGUAAGCUUUCACUGAAAGUUUGAACUCUCCAAAUACUGUGCUUGGCCCGGUUCCUGGCUACACUCCUUAUGAGGCUGCCACCACCUGCCACCUCCUCUAGGUAUCUCGGCAUAAGGCAGUUUCCCACUUCCAGGAAUGCCAUUUGAGUAGGAGGGCUAAUAAGGCCUGAAGAAUGUAAAAUUAAAAAUCUGGGACUUUUAAAUUCCAUCCCUUGUUGCCUGAUGUGUGUUCUCUGUGUGUGGUAUGUGGAGGAAUUGUGAAUUUUUAUAUUUGUGUAAAUACAAUCAUGAAGGUGCUGGAGUCCCAAGUGAUUUUUGGCUAUGUGCUCUUCAAAAAGCUAGUAAUGAAUUGGUAAUAUGUUUUUACUUAAACUCAAAUCACCCAUUUUAACCUCAGAGUUGCCCUUUGAAUUCAAGAUUUUUGUUCUUGUUUUACAGGUGACGAGACUGAGACUGAGAGGCUCAAGCCUUGGACACUAUGUAAGUUCAAGUGCACAGGCUAGAUUCAGAACCAAUCGUUGGACUCCGGUGGUGCUGCCUUUCUUUUGUCCCAAAGAGCAGAAUCAAUUGGCAGGGGACUAUCUUGAAAGAGGACAUGUUCUUGGUCAUCAUCGUACAAGAAAGUCAAGACAAACACUAAAGUGUUUUCAAAUCACCUCUAAGUUCUGA
rnacentral:lncRNA from 1 species